AUUGAACGCUGGCGGCAGGCCUAACACAUGCAAGUCGAGCGAGCGGCGGACGGGUGAGUAAUGUAUGGGGACUGCCCGAUAGAGGGGGAUAACUACUGGAAACGGUAGCUAAUACCGCAUACUAUCGUAUCACCCAUAUGGGAUGAGCUAGUAGGUGAGUUAAUGGCCCACCUAGGCGACGAUCCCUAGCUGGUCUGAGAGGAUGAUGAGCCACACUGUGACUGUGACACGGCCCAGACUCCGACGGAGGCAGCAGUGGGGAAUAGUGCACAAUGGGCGCAAGCCUGUUUCAGCCAUGCCGCGUGUAUGAAGAAGGCCCUAGGGUUGUAAAGGACUUUCAGUCGGGGGGCGUUACCUACAGAAGAAGCACCGGCUAACUCCGUGCCAGCAGCCGCGGUAAUAC
rnacentral:rRNA from 1 species